UGAUUAAUUUAUUUGCUUACUCUGCUAUUGUUUACUGAAUCUUGUUACAUGUUACUUAGUUUUUGUGAUUUUGGCCUGUUACUCGACCUGAUACUCGACCACCCAGUUGUCUGGCAACAGACUGUGCAGUCGAGUAUCCCUGUUACAUUUUAUGUCUGUUACUCGACCUGUCACUCGACCACACCCAGUGCUCUUCAACGAGCUGUGUUGGUCGAGUGUUUUCUUGUUUCUGCUUGAUUUUUUGUUUCCUGCAUGUUCACUUAGGACUGCUAGAACACCCCAAAACUUGUUAUUGUUUGGCUUGACUCUGUGAACUCUGAUUGCAUCUUGAUUGCUAGCAUCACACCCAUUUGGAUUGAUAACCUUCAGUACUACAACGACAUGAUAGUGCUUUAGGAUUAAUUGAUCUUAAAAAACUAUUAUCAACAGCAUUGGUGAUGAGGAGCAAUGCUUCACCAGUAGUUCUUGUCAUGAAGUUACAGUAGCUUGCUGCAUCAAGUUGAUUCUGGUAUGGCUCAGCUAUCCCUCUGUAGAAUAUAUUAAUGAGUUGGCUCUCUUGGAAGCCAUGUUGUUGACAUUCUCGCUGAUAAGAUUUGAAGUGGAGACAUGCUACUCUAAGGGACUCGGUUGGUGCUUGAGUGAACGAAGAGAUUUGCAAACGAAGUGCCUCUGUCACGGAUUCAUUGAAGAAGUGAUUCAUGAAGGUGUGCUUUGUAUCAGUCCAAUUGGUUAUUGAACCUGAUUCUAGUUGACGCAACCAUGAUGUUCCUUUGCGCGCGAGAGAGUGGGGAAGAGUUUGCACCUUCUGGUACACCUUCUGCUUUAAUAAGGUAAUCAGCUGGUACACCUUCUGCUUUAAUAGAAGACUUCCAAAUGAUCUAAUGGUGAUUCAUCGAGAGCUCCUCUAAACUUUCCUCUUGACACAAGAUCACAAUAGGCAGGGUGUAUAGCAAAGUCUUCUCGUUCAAAUGGUGGUAGCUUGAAUGUUGAUCGGUUGGUGUAGAAAAGAUCACUUUUGUUAAGGUCGCCUAAUUUAGCCAGCUGGUUCUGCAGAGGGUGUCGGUCAACACUAUCGUGAAAUCCUGCCAUAGAAACGCGAUUCUCAAUUUGAAGGUACCUGAAACACAAGAAACCAAAGGACAAAGAAACACGUGAAUAAG
rnacentral:sRNA from 1 species